rnacentral:rRNA from 1 species
AACGAACGCUAGCGGCAGGCCUAACACAUGCAAGUCGAACGCUCGUAGCAAUACGGGAGUGGCGCACGGGUGAGUAACGCGUGGGCACCUACCCGGUGGUCCGGAAUAACCGCGGGAAACUGCGGCUAAUACCGAAUAAGCCCUUAGGGGGAAAGAUUUAUCGCCAUCGGAUGGGCCCGCGUCGGAUUAGCUAGUUGGUGUGGUAACGGCGCACCAAGGCGACGAUCCGUAGCUGGUCUGAGAGGAUGAUCAGCCACACUGGGACUGAGACACGGCCCAGACUCCUACGGGAGGCAGCAGUGGGGAAUAUUGGACAAUGGGCGCAAGCCUGAUCCAGCCAUGCCGCGUGAGUGAAGAAGGCCUUCGGGUUGUAAAGCUCUUUUGGCGGGGACGAUGAUGACGGUACCCCGCAGAAUAAGCCCCGGCUAACUUCGUGCCAGCAGCCGCGGUAAGACGAAGGGGGCCUAGCGUUGUUCGGAAUUACUGGGCGUAAAGGGCGCGUAGGCGGUUUGUUAAGCAGGCGUGAAA